CACAGCCAGCGGACCAGAGUUGGUGGGGAGAAGAUGGAAGGAGGUUCGACGACUCUGGGACUGUGCUGUAGCGGAGGCAUGGGAGCCCUGGGACUGCCACACAGGACGACAUCCCAUGCUAAAGAGCCCCGGAGGGCAUAAGUCUAACGCUGUUUAUUAGGGCUUGUUCAAUAACUGAAAUGUAACAGGAUAUGAUACCCAGACCCAUGCCCAAGACCCUAGCUUCACGAUACAGCAUACACACUACACCAAUAGGUACCGCACGUACCAGACUGAUACGUAAUAUAACGACUACACAUAUGUACACAACUAAGCCC